rnacentral:rRNA from 1 species
CCUGGCGGCAAUAGCGCGGUGGUCCCACCUGACCCCAUGCCGAACUCAGAAGUGAAACGCCGUAGCGCCGAUGGUAGUGUGGGGUCU